rnacentral:tRNA from 1 species
CGGAGUAUAGCUCAGCUUGGUAGAGCACCGUCAUGGGGUGGCGGGGGUCGCUGGUUCGAAUCCAGUUACUCCGACCA